rnacentral:rRNA from 1 species
CCUACGGGUGGCAGCAGUGGGGAAUAUUGGACAAUGGGGGCAACCCUGAUGCAGCGACGCCGCGUGAGUGAAGACGGCCUUCGGUUUGUAAACUUCUUUCAGCAGGGAAGAAAAUGACGGUACCUGAGUAAGAAGAGCCGCCGAACUACGUGCCAGCAGCGGCGGUAAUACGUAGGGGGGACGCGUUUUCCGGAUUUACUGGGUGUAAAGGGAGCGUAGACGGGGGUGAAAGUCUGAAGUGAAAGGCGGGGGCUAAACCCCCGAACUGCGCUUGAAACUGUAGGUCUUGAGUGCUGUAGAGGUAGGUGGAAUUCCUGGUGUAGCGGUGAAAUGCGUAGAUAUUAGGAGGAACACCAGUGGCGAAGGCGGCUUGCUGGACUGUAACUGACGGUGAGGCGCGAAAGCGUGGGGAGCAAACAGGAUUAGAUACCCGGGUAGUC